AAAGAACACCAUACUGACACUAUAUGGGGUUCAUAGAUAAUUUCAGAAUUAUUAUCAAUCUUCGCAGACGCAUACACUUAUUUACUUAUACUUGUCAAUUUCUUUUUGUUCGCAUCGUUAAGUAUAGUAGCGAAUCGCACCAUUACUUCGAACUUUGAACCACUCAAAACUCCAGUUAUUAUCGCCUGCGAAUAUAUGUGCAAUACACGUACCUAAUGGAAAUCCCAGGGCCUCCAACAACAACCGAACUGUCUU